rnacentral:rRNA from 1 species
AGAACGAACGCUGGCGGCAUGCCUAAUACAUGCAAGUCGAACGAACACUUCGGUGUUAGUGGCGCACGGGUGCGUAACGCGUGGGAAUCUGCCCUUGGGUUCGGAAUAACAGUUGGAAACGACUGCUAAUACCGGAUGAUAUCGAAAGAUCAAAGAUUUAUCGCCCAGGGAUGAGCCCGCGUAGGAUUAGCUAGUUGGUGAGGUAAAGGCUCACCAAGGCGACGAUCCUUAGCUGGUCUGAGAGGAUGAUCAGCCACACUGGGACUGAGACACGGCCCAGACUCCUACGGGAGGCAGCAGGUAGGGAAUAGUUGGACAAUGGGCGCAAGCCUGAUCCAGCAAUGCGCGUGAGUGA